GGAAUUAAAGAUAUUGAGUAUUGAGCAGACUGUUCCCCAUAAGCAAUUGUGUGCUUUGCUCGGAGCACGACAAUCUCGGCCUUGUGUUUUCGCUGCAUCUCCUACAUUCGUGCUUGAAUUUGUGCUUGCAUCUUCCUUAUCAACUUCAUUAGAUCCUGUUAGUCUCCCAUAUUUCUCGUGGUCGCCAUUGGGUUUCUUUGCUUGUUCUUGGGCCCCAUGGUGGGUGCCAAAAUGUUUCAGUAUGUAGGGUUAAAAGUCACACCUUCACAAUUUGGUCCAGUCACCUCUCUCCACUUCACUUUUCUUUUUUUUAU
rnacentral:lncRNA from 1 species